CAUUGCUUUAGCUAAUACAAGCCCAACAAAGCAUUCCUUUGGCUACAGCCAGUGACUUGAGUUUGACCAUGAAAUUCACUAGGGUAUUACUCCUUCUCUCACUUGUCGCCUGUUUGUUGGCACAAGUUGAGAAAAUCUCCGCCGACUCUCUUUUGGAUCUGAUGACCGCUGACACAGGCAAGGAUACCUCUGAGGAUAUUACAACUCGCAAUUUGAGCGCAUGCAAGGACGAGCACAGUGAAGAGUUUUGUGAUCGGUUUAAAUCAUUUUGUGCGGGACAUGGAGGAGUUAAAAAUAAAGUAUACCUGUGGCGAAAAUGUCGCCGCACAUGUGGAGUGUGCUAAGGAGGGAUAACCAGCUGGAAAACAGCAAGGAAAGACACAAUUUAAAAGUUUAAGGAUGCAAAAAUGAAUGUUAUAUAAUCGCUCGUGAUAAUUAAAAGUUAUAACGCUAUGCAUCAUUAUACCUGGCUUAUAUUUGAAAGCCAACAGUGACUUGUCUUGUUAAAAAUUAGUGAUUAAAAUUAUUUAUCUUGCAUCACAUGA